GAGUUUGAUCCUGGCUCAGAUUGAACGCUGGCGGAAUGCUUUACACAUGCAAGUCGAACGGCAGCACGGGAGCUUGCUCCUGGUGGCGAGUGGCGAACGGGUGAGUAAUGCGUCGGAACGUACCGAGUAAUGGGGGAUAACGCAGCGAAAGCUGUGCUAAUACCGCAUACGCCCUGAGGGGGAAAGUGGGGGAUCGCAAGACCUCACGUUAUUCGAGCGGCCGACGUCUGAUUAGCUAGUUGGUGGGGUAAUGGCCUACCAAGGCGACGAUCAGUAGCGGGUCUGAGAGGAUGAUCCGCCACACUGGGACUGAGACACGGCCCAGACUCCUACGGGAGGCAGCAGUGGGGAAUUUUGGACAAUGGGGGCAACCCUGAUCCAGCCAUUCCGCGUGAGUGAAGAAGGCCUUCGGGUUGUAAAGCUCUUUCAGCGGGAACGAAACGGUACGCUCUAACAUAGCGUGCUAAUGACGGUACCAGCAGAAGAAGCACCGGCUAACUACGUGCCAGCAGCCGCGGUAAUACGUAGGGUGCGAGCGUUAAUCGGAAUUACUGGGCGUAAAGCGUGCGCAGGCGGACUGUUAAGCAAGAUGUGAAAUCCCCGGGCUUAACCUGGGAAUGGCAUUUUGAACUGGCAGUCUAGAGUGUGUCAGAGGGGGGUGGAAUUCCACGUGUAGCAGUGAAAUGCGUAGAUAUGUGGAGGAACACCAAUGGCGAAGGCAGCCCCCUGGGAUAACACUGACGCUCAUGUACGAAAGCGUGGGGAGCAAACAGGAUUAGAUACCCUGGUAGUCG
rnacentral:rRNA from 1 species